rnacentral:ncRNA from 2 species
UUCGUCGACAUGGGAGAGACCGGGGCCACGCCCCGGCGCCGAAGGAGCAACCGCCCCGGAAACUCUCAGGCAGAAGGACCAUGGCGGCAAA